rnacentral:lncRNA from 10 species
AUUCCAAACGGUAUGGCGAGCACUGCGCAUGCGGGAAACCCACCCUGUAAGGGAAGAAUCCUGGGAAAGAGGCAAGCCUAUGAAGUCCCAGGAUCAAGAUGGGACCAUCUAGUUGCAGGAAAACAAGCUGAGUGAGGAUUCCCACUGAUUCUAUACUAUGAUCAUACCAAUCACCUCUGAGAAGCCCAAUCACUACAACCACUAACCACAACAUAAAUCAACGUGAGGACCUGAGAGCUCGCUUGCUCCCACUCUGUCCCUAGCCCAGCCUGGUUUUUCCAUCACAUGCUUCUUAGGCAGCAGGGAGCUGAGGCAGGGGGAACAUUUAGUUCCUUUUUCAAAGACUGGGAACACUUAAAAAUAUCUCCAAGUAAGCAACCAGCAUUCAGAGGAUGCUUAUUUACACUUUGUAGGAGCCUGGUGUUGGGACUCUGGCUCCUGGAUGGCGUCAAACCUGCCCUUGGGCUUGGCCGAGGCUGGUCUGGGAGUACCAUUUGCAAAUGGCUCUUGCUUCACGGUUGCAUCUCCAUCUGGGUAAACAACCUAGCGACAGCGCUGGCUCUUCUUAAGGCUGUCUGUUAUGGACUGAACUGUGUCCCUCUCAGAUUCACUUGUUAAAGUCCUGACCCCAGUACACCUCAGAAUGUGACUGUAUAUAGAAAUAGGGCAUGUAAAGCAGUCAUGACGGUUAAGUAAGGUCAUAUGGAUUGGCUCUAGUUCAAACGUGACUGGUAUCCUUCUAAGAAGAGGAAGAGACACCAGAGCUCACUCUCUUUCCACGCACACAAUGGCCAUGUGAGCACACUGUGAGAAGAUGCCAUCCGCAAGCCAAGAAGAGAGGCCUUGGGAGAAACCAAACCUGCUGUCACCUUGAUCUUGGACUUCCAGCCUCAAGAACUGUGAGAAAAUAAAUUUCUGCUGUUUAUUCCACCC